GCCGACGUGGUGGAAUUGGUAGACACGCCGUCUUGAGGGGGCGGUGGCGAAAGUUAUGCGAGUUCGAGUCUCGCCGUCGGCACCA
rnacentral:tRNA from 1 species